rnacentral:rRNA from 1 species
CAGCGACGGGUAUGGGGUGUGAGAGCACUUGCCCAGAGAUGGUUUCUGAGACACGAAACCAGGCCCUACGGGGCGCAGCAGGCGCGAAAACUUCGCAAUGCGGGAAACCGUGACGAGGGAAUUCCAAGUGUCUAUGCAUUGCAUAGACUGUUUUUUAGCCUAAAUAGCUAUUAGAGUAAGGGGUGGGUAAGACCGGUGCCAGCCGCCGCGGUAACACCGGCACCCCGAGUGGUAGCCACUAUUAUUGGGCCUAAAGCGUUCGUAGCCGGUUUGGUAAAUUCUUGGGUAAAUCGUACCGCUUAACGGUGCGGAUUCCGGGGACACUACCAGACUUGAGACCGGGGGAGAUCAGAGGUACUUGCGGGGGAGCGGUGAAAUGUUGUAAUCCCGCAGGGACCACCAGUGGCGAAGGCGUCUGAUCAGAACGG